UACGGAGGGUGCAAGCGUUGUUCGGAAUUAUUGGGCGUAAAGCGCGUGUAGGCGGUCUGGUAAGUCAGAUGUGAAAGCCUUCUGCUCAACAGGAGAAGUGCAUUUGAAACUGCCAGGCUGGAGUACGGGAGAGGAGAGUGGAAUUCCCGGUGUAGAGGUGAAAUUCGUAGAUAUCGGGAGGAACACCAGUGGCGAAGGCGGCUCUCUGGUCCGAUACUGACGCUGAGACGCGAAAGCGUGGGGAGCAAACAGG
rnacentral:rRNA from 1 species